AUGUUCCAAGAACGCUCAGUACCAUCUGCAGUCUUGAGCUAGACAUGUCCCGUUUGCAGGACACGUCCUCACCUUCGCAGUUGCUCUCCUCCUGGGCUUGUGCACUCCUGCGUUUUGGGAAUAUGUUUUCUUUCGUGUAAUACAUCCUCGGCCUGCGUGCCUGUGUUCACGAGGCGUUGUUCCUACAGCCUGGGAUGCUUUCCUGUGAUGACUCAAGGACCCGCUCUCCGAUAACACACAAGGUACUACAGCUUCGAAGAGAAGAUGGGACAUGCUUCUGUACCGUAUUGACAGCAGUAUCUCCCCGUGAGGCGUGGACAAAGAAGGAAAAGGUAAGAAGAAUCUUCAUGUGCACAAACCAUGCUGAGGGGCGGGGGAGAGGUGUCAGUUAUCAGGGAACUCGGCAGAGAAAAAGCUCGUUGUGCCAAAUCAUUUUUUCUUUGUGGUGUCAAAGAGUGUUGAGGGCUGACCAGAUUCUGAACCCCAGACACCAGAUGAAGAGCCAGAUUAUGGAGUAAAUUCUGGGCCCCAGGCCUUGGAGUCUCACCACACAGUUAGACCUAGGGGCUGAGAGCUGGAGUAAGUAAUGGGAUCGAGACAGUGGACUCUUGUGUUCAGAUGACAGAAGACACCUCUGCUAAAGCAUGGAUCCCCUAUGCAGACCACUUAAACAGACCGUUGA